GGGGGGGGGGAUGGAGGGUGCAGUCGCCCUAUAGCUAGUGCCCGCCACUGUAUAUACAAACACAAACCGAACGGUUGUGCAUUAUACAGUAGAGAGCUUUAGAUUUUAUUGCGAAUACGACUAUUCGUUUAUUUGGACGGGCCAUAUUCUUACGCCAUCUUUUUUGGAAAAGUUUCGUUGUAAAACUAGCAUCUACUACGAGAUUAGGGCUCGCGUACAUAUUGGCGUAAGAAAAUGGCGAGCAUGUGCUAAUUACAGGGUACGAUAAUUCGCGUACUUACGUACCGGCGGUAAGCCAAUAUCACAGUCUGCUACUUCUUUGUUUUUUAACACUCGCUAUCUGCGUACUUGCAUUUUGCUGGUACCAGAUGACCUUAUACCAAGCCCAAGGUAUCCAAAACGCUAAUUGUAGUUAAAAGUCAAAAAGUUUGAAAGUUUUAGUUUAAAAGUCAUACUUAGAAGUGGGUAUAUGCAUGGGUAC
rnacentral:lncRNA from 1 species